rnacentral:rRNA from 1 species
AGUGAACGCUGGCGGCAGGCCUAAUACAUGCAAGUCGAACGGCAGCACAGCAGAGCUUGCUCUGUGGGUGGCGAGUGGCGGACGGGUGAGGAAUACGUGGGAAUCUGCCCAGUCGUGGGGGAUAACGUAGGGAAACUUACGCUAAUACCGCAUGCGCCCCUUCGGGGGAAAGCCGGGGACCUUCGGGCCUGGCGCGAUUGGAUGAGCCCACGUCGGAUUAGCUAGUUGGCGGGGUAAAGGCCCACCAAGGCGACGAUCCGUAGCUGGUCUGAGAGGAUGAUCAGCCACACUGGAACUGAGACACGGUCCAGACUCUACGGGAGCAGCAGUAGGGAAUAUUGGACAAUGGGCGCAAGCCUGAUCAGCCAUGCCGCGUGAGUGAAGAAGGCCCUCGGGUUGUAAAGCUCUUUUGUCCGGAAAGAAAAGCGCCGGGUUAAUACCCUGGUGUCCUGACGGUACCGGAAGAAUAAGCACCGGCUAACUUCGUGCCAGCAGCCGC